rnacentral:rRNA from 1 species
CAUGCAAGUCGAGCGAAUGGAUUAAGAGCUUGCUCUUAUGAAGUUAGCGGCGGACGGGUGAGUAACACGUGGGUAACCUGCCCAUAAGACUGGGAUAACUCCGGGAAACCGGGGCUAAUACCGGAUAACAUUUUGAACCGCAUGGUUCGAAAUUGAAAGGCGGCUUCGGCUGUCACUUAUGGAUGGACCCGCGUCGCAUUAGCUAGUUGGUGAGGUAACGGCUCACCAAGGCAACGAUGCGUAGCCGACCUGAGAGGGUGAUCGGCCACACUGGGACUGAGACACGGCCCAGACUCCUACGGGAGGCAGCAGUAGGGAAUCUUCCGCAAUGGACGAAAGUCUGACGGAGCAACGCCGCGUGAGUGAUGAAGGCUUUCGGGUCGUAAAACUCUGUUGUUAGGGAAGAACAAGUGCUAGUUGAAUAAGCUGGCACCUUGACGGUACCUAACCAGAAAGCCACGGCUAACUACGUGCCAGCAGCCGCGGUAAUACGUAGGUGGCAAGCGUUAUCCGGAAUUAUUGGGCGUAAAGCGCGCGCAGGUGGUUUCUUAAGUCUGAUGUGAAAGCCCACGGCUCAACCGUGGAGGGUCAUUGGAAACUGGGAGACUUGAGUGCAGAAGAGGAAAGUGGAAUUCCAUGUGUAGCGGUGAAAUGCGUAGAGAUAUGGAGGAACACCAGUGGCGAAGGCGACUUUCUGGUCUGUAACUGACACUGAGGCGCGAAAGCGUGGGGAGCAAACAGGAUUAAAUACCCUGGUAGUCCACGCCGUAAACAAUGAGUGCUAACUGUUGGAAGGUUUCCUCCCUUUAUUGCUGAAGUAAACGCAUUAAUCACUCCGCCUGGGAAGUACGGCCGCGGGGCUGAAACUCAAACGAAAUGGACAGG